rnacentral:tRNA from 1 species
UCCCUGGUGGCUCAGAUGGUAAAGCGUCUGCCUACAAUGCAGGAGAUCCAGGUUCAAUCCCUGAGUCAGGAA